AAAAAGGAGAGCGGAUAAGAGGAAGUAUCCGUAUUCCACGUCAUCGGAAAAGUGGUUCGCGCCAUAUUCGGUCGCUUCUACACGUGGUACUUUUGCGGGCGGAAGAGGAAGUCUUUUUCGUGGUAACCGAGGGGCGAGCGCUACAUUCCCAUCGCAACCGGCCGUGACAGCUGCUUCGCAUGUGGAGAGUCUUCUCACUUCCGGCGCGAAUGUCCGUACGUCGCCAGAGGUCCGGGCACCAGCCACACAAUACACAUGGGUGAGAUACAGGCGCUACCGGAAGUCUUGGUGGACAGGAUGGAGCUACUCCCGGACAUAUUGCGAAAAAGCAGAGCAGGCAGUACAUGUUCAAUAUAUGAAUACGCAUUCAUGCGGUGGAGGAACUGGGCUUUGAGCAAUCAGCUGGGAGGUGGUGAGAUUCUGCCCGCGAACGCAUUUCCGGUUGCGUUGUAUUAAGUGUCAAUCAUACAUAGCGCUAUAACCCCAGCACCUGCUAUUUCUGCUUUUUAUGGAAUAAAAUGGAUUCAUGAUUUACAUGGAUUAAAUACUCCUAGGGUUAGGGUUAGGGCUAGAAUCUAAUAAUCUAAUAACCCAGAAUCUAAGUUAGUAAUGAACGUUUUAGAAGCAGCAAAAAGAAUUUUAUCUUGUCGAGUAGUAAAAAAAGAGCCUAUUACGGUUGAUAUAUUAAUAUCGAUGUACAAUCGUUUGUAUAAGGAAAAAGAUGUUAUGUCUCAAAGAAUUAUUGUUGCAAGUUUAUUAGGUUAUGCGGGGUUUAUGCGCAUUUCUGAAUUGUUACAAUUGAAAGUGUGCGAUAUAAUGUUUGAUAAUACAUAUAAGAAAGUGUUUAUUGAAUGCAGUAAAACAGCAAGUAUAGAGAUGGUUCUUGGAUAGUGAUUGCUAAAUCCGUAACUAUUUUAUUUCCGUAUGUGAAUUUGCAAAAGUAUAUUGAUUGGACUGGUUUAAAUGGUGAUGAUUUUCUGUUUUGUAAUUUAUCUAAGACAAAGACUGGAUAUAUACCAAGAAAGAAAAACCAAUUUAUGUCAUACACAAGCUUGCGUGAGCAGUUUUAAAAAGCAUUUAAACCGCAUGUUGAAGACAUUAAUAGUUUUUGUUUACAUUCGCUGAGAUCAGGAGGAGCAACUAGUGCUGCUAAUCAGGGUGUAAGGGACAGACUCUUUAAGAGACAUGGUCGGUGGUCUAGUGACAGUGCAAAAGACGGUUACGUGAAAGAUUAUAUUGAAGCUAGAUUAUUAGUUUCUAAAUCACUUGGACUAUGAUAUUUAAACUUAGUGUUAUUGAAUUCUUGUCAUUCAUAUAUCAUAUUGCCCGAACUUUUAUUUCAUCCGGUAGUAUGCAGGCUUAACCAAUAUAAAAGCUGUAUUUUUCA